rnacentral:rRNA from 1 species
CCUACGGGUGGCUGCAGUGGGGAAUAUUGGACAAUGGGGGCAACCCUGAUCCAGCCAUGCCGCGUGUGUGAAGAAGGCCCUCGGGUUGUAAAGCACUUUCAGUGAGGAAGAACGCCUGGUGGUUAAUACCCAUCAGGAAAGACAUCACUCACAGAAGAAGCACCGGCUAACUCCGUGCCAGCAGCCGCGGUAAUACGGAGGGUGCGAGCGUUAAUCGUAAUUACUGGGCGUAAAGCGCGCGUAGGUGGCUUGAUAAGCCGGUUGUGAAAGCCCCGGGCUCAACCUGGGAACGGCAUCCGGAACUGUCAAGCUAGAGUGCAGGAGAGGAAGGUAGAAUUCCCGGUGUAGCGGUGAAAUGCGUAGAGAUCGGGAGGAAUACCAGUGGCGAAGGCGGCCUUCUGGACUGACACUGACACUGAGGUGCGAAAGCGUGGGUAGCAAACAGGAUUAGAUACCCUGGUAGUC